GGGGGCAGCGGCGCUAGAGAGGGCGAUCGCCGGAGGAGGCCGAUCGUCGGGGGAGGGUAAUCGCCGGAGAAGGGGCGGCGGAAGCCAUAAGCUUCCCCCUUCAACGAAUACACACGAAGAAGCCUUGGAUCCAUGCAUGAAAACUCAAGAUUCCUCCUCCGAUUCCUCGCCGGAAAAGUCGCCGGAACACCCCGUCGGACCGAGGGGAAGAGUCAGCGGUGCCAGGAGGUUUUGAUUAGGGGACUCAGCACCCCAGCUCGUAGGUUGUGAUCCGGAUCUGUAUUUGUGUCAGUCUACAAUUUCAAGUUGCAGGAUGCAUAGAUUUGGAUGGGAUGGGCGCAGAGUGCGAGUACCAGAGUUAUUA